rnacentral:ribozyme from 1 species
AGAGGCUGCAAGUUCAAGGCCAUGGUGGAAGCACUAACAGUGUGCCCUUGUCAGAUUCCAAUGAAUCUGUGAAUUCUGCU